ACUAAACACGUGUUACCAUCACUUUAUUUCUUUACUACUUUGUACUUUGAAGGAAAUAGACGUGUAAAAUUAAUUCUGCUAAAAUAAUAAAAAAAAAACUUUAACAAUGUUAUCAACUAACCAAACGGAAACACCUUGUAAUGUGAGCAACAAUAUAAAUAUCGAAAAUGGAUAACUUCCGUGAUUGAGGCAUAACAUUCUUGGAAAUGAAGGUUUAACUUAAAGAGUUUUCACCAGUAUAGCCUAACGCUAGUGUGAAGGUGUAUAGCCCGGCUGCGAAAGAUGGAUGGUAUUUUUUUUUUGAAUACCUAACCUCAAUUAUAAUCAAAUCAUAGAAUUUUUAAAACUAACCUCAAGAUUUGAUUCAACAACAGUUUAUGAAUAAACAUAUGCAGAGGGGUAAAAAAUAUUUAUUGAAAAAUAUAAAAUUAUGUCUUAAUUGUGAAUAAAAAUAUAUAUAAAAUUUAA